CCUCUGUUCGCUGAUUGGACCGGUAAAGAUUUGGCCAGAGAAAGCCCGCGAAUAUACUGCAAACCCGGACGAUGUAAAUUGAGCGGAAGUACGUAGGAGGGCGGAGCCAGGCUACAGAUUAAUUACCUAUGGUUGAAACACCUCCACCAGCCAUACCUUUCUGGGGAAUGGACAACCCACCCAGCACCUCACGUUCUCCAGCUACAAAGGUUCCCAAAACACAGACAGCACCACAACCAAGAAGCUUCUGGAUGAUGAAUGAGGAUGCUUCUCACUCUCC